rnacentral:rRNA from 1 species
GGUUAAGCGACUAAGCGUACACGGUGGAUGCCCUGGCAGUCAGAGGCGAUGAAGGACGUGCUAAUCUGCGAAAAGCGUCGGUAAGGUGAUAUGAACCGUUAUAGCCGGCGAUGUCCGAAUGGGGAAACCCAGUGUGAUUCGUCACACUAUCGUUAACUGAAUACAUAGGUUAACGAGGCGAACCGGGGGAACUGAAACAUCUAAGUACCCCGAGGAAAAGAAAUCAACCGAGAUUCCCCCAGUAGCGGCGAGCGAACGGGGAGCAGCCCAGAGUCUGAAUCAGCUUGUGUGUUAGUGGAACGGUCUGGAAAGUCCGACGGUACAGGGUGAUAGUCCCGUACACCAAAAUGCACAGGUUGUGAACUCGAAGAGUAGGGCGGGACACGUGGUAUCCUGUCUGAAUAUGGGGGGACCAUCCUCCAAGGCUAAAUACUCCUGACUGACCGAUAGUGAACCAGUACCGUGAGGGAAAGGCGAAAAGAACCCCGGCGAGGGGAGUGAAAAAGAACCUGAAACCGUGUACGUACAAGCAGUGGGAGCACCUUCGGGUGUGACUGCGUACCUUUUGUAUAAUGGGUCAGCGACUUAUAUUCUGUAGCAAGGUUAACCGUAUAGGGGAGCCGCAGGGAAACCGAGUCUUAACUGGGCGUUAAGUUGCAGGGUAUAGACCCGAAACCCGGUGAUCUAGCCAUGGGCAGGUUGAAGGUUGGGUAACACUAACUGGAGGACCGAACCGACUAAUGUUGAAAAAUUAGCGGAUGACUUGUGGCUGGGGGUGAAAGGCCAAUCAAACCGGGAGAUAGCUGGUUCUCCCCGAAAGCUAUUUAGGUAGCGCCUCGUGAACUCAUCUUCGGGGGUAGAGCACUGUUUCGGCUAGGGGGUCAUCCCGACUUACCAACCCGAUGCAAACUACGAAUACCGAAGAAUGUUAUCACGGGAGACACACGGCGGGUGCUAACGUCCGUCGUGAAGAGGGAAACAACCCAGACCGCCAGCUAAGGUCCCAAAGUCAUGGUUAAGUGGGAAACGAUGUGGGAAGGCACAGACAGCCAGGAUGUUGGCUUAGAAGCAGCCAUCAUUUAAAGAAAGCGUAAUAGCUCACUGGUCGAGUCGGCCUGCGCGGAAGAUGUAACGGGGCUAAACCAUGCACCGAAGCUGCGGCAGCGACACUAUGUGUUGUUGGGUAGGGGAGCGUUCUGUAAGCCUGCGAAGGUGACCUGUGAGGGUUGCUGGAGGUAUCAGAAGUGCGAAUGCUGACAUAAGUAACGAUAAAGCGGGUGAAAAGCCCGCUCGCCGGAAGACCAAGGGUUCCUGUCCAACGUUAAUCGGGGCAGGGUGAGUCGACCCCUAAGGCGAGGCCGAAAGGCGUAGUCGAUGGGAAACAGGUUAAUAUUCCUGUACUUGGUGUUACUGCGAAGGGGGGACGGAGAAGGCUAUGUUAGCCGGGCGACGGUUGUCCCGGUUUAAGCAUGUAGGCUGAUUGUCCAGGCAAAUCCGGAUAAUCAAGGCUGAGGUGUGAUGACGAGGCACUACGGUGCUGAAGUAACAAAUGCCCUGCUUCCAGGAAAAGCCUCUAAGCAUCAGGUAACAUUAAAUCGUACCCCAAACCGACACAGGUGGUCAGGUAGAGAAUACCAAGGCGCUUGAGAGAACUCGGGUGAAGGAACUAGGCAAAAUGGUGCCGUAACUUCGGGAGAAGGCACGCUGGUGUGUAGGUGAAGUCCCUGCGGAUGGAGCUGAGACCAGUCGAAGAUACCAGCUGGCUGCAACUGUUUAUUAAAAACACAGCACUGUGCAAACACGAAAGUGGACGUAUACGGUGUGACGCCUGCCCGGUGCCGGAAGGUUAAUUGAUGGGGUUAUCCGUAAGGAGAAGCUCUUGAUCGAAGCCCCGGUAAACGGCGGCCGUAACUAUAACGGUCCUAAGGUAGCGAAAUUCCUUGUCGGGUAAGUUCCGACCUGCACGAAUGGCGUAAUGAUGGCCAGGCUGUCUCCACCCGAGACUCAGUGAAAUUGAACUCGCUGUGAAGAUGCAGUGUACCCGCGGCAAGACGGAAAGACCCCGUGAACCUUUACUAUAGCUUGACACUGAACAUUGAGCCUUGAUGUGUAGGAUAGGUGGGAGGCUUUGAAGCGUGGACGCCAGUCUGCGUGGAGCCAACCUUGAAAUACCACCCUUUAAUGUUUGAUGUUCUAACGUUGGCCCCUGACCGGGGUUGCGGACAGUGUCUGGUGGGUAGUUUGACUGGGGCGGUCUCCUCCCAAAGCGUAACGGAGGAGCACGAAGGUUAGCUAAUCCUGGUCGGACAUCAGGAGGUUAGUGCAAUGGCAUAAGCUAGCUUGACUGCGAGCGUGACGGCGCGAGCAGGUGCGAAAGCAGGUCAUAGUGAUCCGGUGGUUCUGAAUGGAAGGGCCAUCGCUCAACGGAUAAAAGGUACUCCGGGGAUAACAGGCUGAUACCGCCCAAGAGUUCAUAUCGACGGCGGUGUUUGGCACCUCGAUGUCGGCUCAUCACAUCCUGGGGCUGAAGUAGGUCCCAAGGGUAUGGCUGUUCGCCAUUUAAAGUGGUACGCGAGCUGGGUUUAGAACGUCGUGAGACAGUUCGGUCCCUAUCUGCCGUGGGCGCUGGAGAAUUGAGGGGGGCUGCUCCUAGUACGAGAGGACCGGAGUGGACGCAUCACUGGUGUUCGGGUUGUCAUGCCAAUGGCACUGCCCGGUAGCUAAAUGCGGAAGAGAUAAGUGCUGAAAGCAUCUAAGCACGAAACUUGCCCCGAGAUGAGUUCUCCCUGAGACUUUAAGUCUCCUGAAGGAACGUUGAAGACGACGACGUUGAUAGGCCGGGUGUGUAAGCGCAGCGAUGCGUUGAGCUAACCGGUACUAAUGAACCGUGAGGCUUAACCUU